GAUGAACGCUGGCGGCGUGCUUAACACAUGCAAGUCGAACGGACAGGCGCUGCUUUUGUGGGUUUCUCGUUUGGCGCACGGGUGAGUAACACGUGAGUAACAUCCCCUUGACUUUGGGGUAACAUCAGGCAAAAGGGGCGCAUACAGCAUAGGAGAUCCUGCUGCGUAGGGGUGGUUGGCAAAUUUCGGCUGUUGGGGCUGUUCUCGCGGCUUAUUCGCUUGGUGGUGUGGUAGUGGCUUACCAAGGCUAUGAUGGGUAGCUGACGUGAGCGUGUGACCGGCCACACUGGAACUGAGACGCGGCCCAGACUCAGAAGGGAGGCAGCAGUAGGGAAUCUUGCGCAAUGGGCGAAAGCCUGACGGAGCAACGCCGCGUGGAUGAAGAAGGCUUUCGGAUCGUAAAACUCUGUUAUUAGGGAAGAAAAAAUAGGUAAGAAACUAGGCUCGGCUUGACGGUACCUAAUGAGAAAGCAACGGCUAACUACGUG
rnacentral:rRNA from 1 species